AUUGAACGCUGGCGGCAUGCCUUACACAUGCAAGUCGAACGGCAGCACGGGAGCUUGCUCCUGGUGGCGAGUGGCGAACGGGUGAGUAAUACAUCGGAACGUGCCAUUGAGUGGGGGAUAACGUAGCGAAAGUUGCGCUAAUACCGCAUAUUCUGUGAGCAGGAAAGCAGGGGACCGCAAGGCCUUGCGCUCUUUGAGCGGCCGAUGUCAGAUUAGCUAGUUGGUGAGGUAACGGCUUACCAAGGCGACGAUCUGUAGCGGGUCUGAGAGGAUGAUCCGCCACACUGGAACUGAGACACGGUCCAGACUCCUACGGGAGGCAGCAGUGGGGAAUUUUGGACAAUGGGCGCAAGCCUGAUCCAGCCAUGCCGCGUGAGUGAAGAAGGCC
rnacentral:rRNA from 1 species